rnacentral:rRNA from 1 species
UACAGAGGUCCCAAGCGUUGUUCGGAUUCAUUGGGCGUAAAGGGCGCGUAGGCGGCUUGACAAGUCACUUGUGAAAUCUCGGGGCUUAACUCCGAAACUGCAUUCGAUACUGCCGUGCUUGAGGACUGGAGAGGAGACUGGAAUUUACGGUGUAGCGGUGAAAUGCGUAGAUAUCGUAAGGAAGACCAGUGGCGAAGGCGGGUCUCUGGACAGUUCCUGACGCUGAGGCACGAAGGCCAGGGGAGCAAACGGG